rnacentral:rRNA from 1 species
AUUGAACGCUGGCGGCAUGCCUUACACAUGCAAGUCGAACGGUAACGGGUCCUUCGGGAUGCCGACGAGUGGCGAACGGGUGAGUAAUAUAUCGGAACGUGCCCAGUAGUGGGGGAUAACUGCUCGAAAGAGCAGCUAAUACCGCAUACGACCUGAGGGUGAAAGGGGGGGAUCGCAAGACCUCUCGCUAUUGGAGCGGCCGAUAUCAGAUUAGCUAGUUGGUGGGGUAAAGGCCUACCAAGGCAACGAUCUGUAGUUGGUCUGAGAGGACGACCAGCCACACUGGGACUGAGACACGGCCCAGACUCCUACGGGAGGCAGCAGUGGGGAAUUUUGGACAAUGGGCGCAAGCCUGAUCCAGCAAUGCCGCGUGCAGGAAGAAGGCCUUCGGGUUGUAAACUGCUUUUGUCAGGGAAGAAAUCUUCUGGGCUAAUACCCCGGGAGGAUGACGGUACCUGAAGAAUAAGCACCGGCUAACUACGUGCCAGCAGCCGCGGUAAUACGUAGGGUGCGAGCGUUAAUCGGAAUUACUGGGCGUAAAGCGUGCGCAGGCGGCUUUGCAAGACAGAUGUGAAAUCCCCGGGCUCAACCUGGGAACUGCAUUUGUGACUGCAAGGCUAGAGUACGGCAGAGGGGGAUGGAAUUCCGCGUGUAGCAGUGAAAUGCGUAGAUAUGCGGAGGAACACCAAUGGCGAAGGCAAUCCCCUGGGCCUGUACUGACGCUCAUGCACGAAAGCGUGGGGAGCAAACAGGAUUAGAUACCCUGGUAGUCCACGCCCUAAACGAUGUCAACUGGUUGUUGGACGGCUUGCUGUUCAGUAACGAAGCUAACGCGUGAAGUUGACCGCCUGGGGAGUACGGCCGCAAGGUUGAAACUCCAAGGAAUUGACGGGGACCCGCACAAGCGGUGGAUGAUGUGGUUUAAUUCGAUGCAACGCGAAAAACCUUACCUACCCUUGACAUGUCAAGAAUUCUGCAGAGAUGUGGAAGUGCUCGAAAGAGAACUUGAACACAGGUGCUGCAUGGCCGUCGUCAGCUCGUGUCGUGAGAUGUUGGGUUAAGUCCCGCAACGAGCGCAACCCUUGUCAUUAGUUGCUACGCAAGAGCACUCUAAUGAGACUGCCGGUGACAAACCGGAGGAAGGUGGGGAUGACGUCAGGUCCUCAUGGCCCUUAUGGGUAGGGCUACACACGUCAUACAAUGGCCGGUACAGAGGGCUGCCAACCCGCGAGGGGGAGCCAAUCCCAGAAAACCGGUCGUAGUCCGGAUCGUAGUCUGCAACUCGACUGCGUGAAGUCGGAAUCGCUAGUAAUCGCGGAUCAGCUUGCCGCGGUGAAUACGUUCCCGGGUCU